UUCUGCACAUACCUGGAGUGGCUGCCUGCCCUGGCUCCUCGGUACAGGAAAGGGGAAGGGUGGAGAGUGAAAGGAGCCCAGGCUGACCCAACCAGGACCGCCUUCUCCCUCAGACCGAGUAGUGCAGACCCCACGGCCUCCACCUUCAGACCCAGGAGUUCAGAUCCCCAGCGCCCUCCUCCCUCAGACCCAGGAGUAGUCCAGGCCCCCAGCGCCCUCCUCUCUCAGACCCAGAAGUCCAGGCCCCCAGCACCCUUCUCCCUCAGACCCUGGAGUCCAGGUCCCCAGCGCCCUCCUCCUUCAGACCCAGGAGUCCAGGCCCCCAGUGCCCUCCUCUCUCAGACCCAGGAGUUCUGGAAUUCAGGCCCCUCCUUCUCGGGUACUAAGAAAUGCAGACUCCGGGUUCCUCAUCCUCCAGAUUUGGGUUGGGGGUUCCGGACUCCGAGACCCCUCAGGGGAAACCGGCUGCAUAUCUGGGACACUUCCCUCUUGCCUCAGUUUCCUCCGCCAAGC
rnacentral:lncRNA from 1 species